rnacentral:rRNA from 2 species
UUUUUGGAGAGUUUGAUCCUGGCUCAGGACGAACGCUGGCGGCGUGCCUAAUACAUGCAAGUCGAGCGAAUCUGAUGGGAGCUUGCUCCCUGAUGAUUAGCGGCGGACGGGUGAGUAACACGUGGGUAACCUGCCUGUAAGACUGGGAUAACUCCGGGAAACCGGGGCUAAUACCGGAUAACUUUUUUCUUCGCAUGAGGGAGAAUUGAAAGAUGGCUUCGGCUAUCACUUACAGAUGGACCCGCGGCGCAUUAGCUAGUUGGUGAGGUAACGGCUCACCAAGGCGACGAUGCGUAGCCGACUUGAGAGGGUGAUCGGCCACACUGGGACUGAGACACGGCCCAGACUCCUACGGGAGGCAGCAGUAGGGAAUCUUCCGCAAUGGACGACAGUCUGACGGAGCAACGCCGCG